rnacentral:piRNA from 1 species
UGUUACGGAAAGUUCGCUGUGCCCACAUGCUC